CUCCAGAUGCCCUCCUUAUUUUCUUAAGUCACCUUCGUUAAAUAACGAAUUUAUAAGUUUUAAAAGAAAAGCUUAUGUUUCUGAGUUCAUCAGAUUGCACUUGUAAUUCCGACAAUACCACGGAGCGACGUGAAAUGAUUCUCAUGUCUCGCUGAUUCCUGAUUAGGCUUCUGCUGAUUAAUGCGCAUCCUCGUUCGGUUUACUAAUUAAACUGAUUAUAGGAAGUAAUGCAUAGAUUGUCGUAAGAAACAUUACGGCGCAAACACCGCAGUAUGUCCGCUGUCAUGUCUCCUUUGGCGCCUUUCAUCCCGAAACCUUUUACCCGUAGUUUUUAAAGCGCCUGUCCUUCCGUCCAGGCAGUUUGUCGGAAUUUGGGAUUUAUCUUAAUUCGUACUAUUAAUAUUUUCACGUGUUAAGCGACCAUCCUCUAUUUCUGCUACACACCGGGGUUACAGAUUAGCCUACCGUAGAUACCAUAUCAAUUCCUGCAUUAAACGUACAACUACUUGGGGCCAGGAUACUUCAAAUAUAAUUACCAGGGGAUCGGGGACUCGAUUAAUGAAAAUGAACCAGUGAGGAAUCUCCAGCAGAAGGUUCUGGAAUCUAACAAAUCUGGGUGUGAGUGAAGGGCUCUCUCCCCUUGGACCUACAUUCCCAGGCCCCUUGCGGAGGAUCCCUGGCUGGCUAAUCUCACGCAGCCCUCUCUCGCUGCCCCUCUGCCUUCCUCUCUCGCCCUCACUUCUCCUCUCCUGUGGCAGGUAAACCGCCCGCCUUUGUUUAGAAGCCGAGAAUCCUGGCUGAUGUUCGCCGGCACCUCGGCCUGCGAGCAGCUGCUGUUCCAUCACGUAUCAUUACGGCUGUAUUCCAUUUUCCGCAUGGCGAAUCGUCCGCACCUGUCGGAGCACGUUUUUCCACCGGCCGUCCGGAGCCCAUCGUCAGCAGCCGCCCAAGAAAACGGCCCUUUUAGGCUGAAGAGGCUCGCAACUCCUGUCAGAAGAAGAACUUUCCAACAUUCAUCAGGGAGGCCGAGUGGGAGCUGGACAGCAUUCUGGGGAGGGGGGAGCGCGGGGCGUGUGACCUGGGUAAUCUCUCUCGUGCAUGCACUCACACACAUUCACACUCACACACGCUCGCACACACACACACACACACACAGUCUCCUCCAGCGGUGCUGUCCCACUAGGAUCUCUGGCUUAAGAAGGACAGGACGUGCAGCGCUGAGGAAUUCCAGCCAGGAGCUCCACCCAAACCGUCAUAUCAGUGCCUGUUUAUUAUUUAGGUCACCUUGCGUGGUGCCAUAUUGGGCACGAAGUGAAUAAAUGAUUAAGGCUGAGAUGUUCAGUGUUCUGCACUGCACACACACAGACACAGAGUGGGACACAGAUCCACGGGGCACUGGAUGGGGUUAUCGCAGUGUGGCCUCGACAGCCACUCAGGCGUGUGAUUGGUCGAGGAGAAACGGAAAAAAAAAAGGCAAACCCAUAACACUGUCUGAGGCCUGUGAUCAGAUUAUCAAUCAAAAUAUGAUUAUUUUUACAGUAAACAUGUAUGUCAUUUAAUCCUAACUAUCUUCCAGUAUCCACAUAUUGGAAAGGAAAGACAACCCACUCCAUUUGUAAUGACGACGUCCUGGCAGGACUGCGUAAGGCACAGUGGCACAUUCUCAGGCAUGGGCAUUAAAAAUACAUAUUACAGCCGUGUAAGGAAAGCGAUGCGUUUGAUCACGCAGCAUACAGCGCCCUGCCGCUCGUUAAGGGCCGACCUUGUAACUAAAUACUGCUGUUUCAGGCUCCUGCGAGGCCUCAGCGCUGCCUAAGGCUGCUGAAUGUAUGUGCCAAGAUGGAGACCAUGUGACUCUGUUUCACCGCUUUCGUUAAGUGUGUUUUGGCUCUGUAAUCCCAGGCCUCACACAGGACAGGAUCUCUCGCCAAAUGCCGUCCUGUGUCACCUGUCCGUCUCUCCUCGCAAGCCAGUUUAUACCCGGUGACUUAACAGGAGAAGAGGCGGGGUGAGGGUGGCCCUUUAAGGAGACUAAUUCAGCCGGGUUACGGCAGCCGUGCCACCUGUUUGCCCGACCCUGUUGCAGGUUUUUGUGUCGCUAUCUUUGGAAUCUGGAGAAUAUUCUAAUUUCGUCUCUGGGAAAAGCUCUGAAUAGGAUGUAAAUUAGUCACCCCAAUAGUGCCUAAGCGAUUGUUUUUAGCACAAACACCCUGAAUAGCAAAUG